rnacentral:tRNA from 1 species
GCGCCCGUAGCUCAGUUGGAUAGAGCAACGGCCUUCUAAGCCGUGGGUCGCAGGUUCGAAUCCUGCAGGGCGCGCCA